rnacentral:rRNA from 1 species
GCCAUGCCGCGUGUGUGAAGAAGGCCUUCGGGUUGUAAAGCACUUUCAGUCGUGAGGAAGGUGGUGUAGUUAAUAGCUGCAUCAUUUGACGUUAGCGACAGAAGAAGCACCGGCUAACUCCGUGCCAGCAGCCGCGGUAAUACGGAGGGUGCGAGCGUUAAUCGGAAUUACUGGGCGUAAAGCGCAUGCAGGUGGUUUGUUAAGUCAGAUGUGAAAGCCCGGGGCUCAACCUCGGAAUAGCAUUUGAAACUGGCAGACUAGAGUACUGUAGAGGGGGGUAGAAUUUCAGGUGUAGCGGUGAAAUGCGUAGAGAUCUGAAGGAAUACCGGUGGCGAAGGCGGCCCCCUGGACAGAUACUGACACUCAGAUGCGAAAGCGUGGGGAGCAAACAGGAUUAGAUACCCUGGUAGUCCACGCCGUAAACGAUGUCUACUUGGAGGUUGUGGCCUUGAGCCGUGGCUUUCGGAGCUAACGCGUUAAGUAGACCGCCUGGGGAGUACGGUCGCAAGAUUAAAACUCAAAUGAAUUGACGGGGGCCCGCACAAGCGGUGGAGCAUGUGGUUUAAUUCGAUGCAACGCGAAGAACCUUACCUACUCUUGACAUCCAGAGAACUUUCCAGAGAUGGAUUGGUGCCUUCGGGAACUCUGAGACAGGUGCUGCAUGGCUGUCGUCAGCUCGUGUUGUGAAAUGUUGGGUUAAGUCCCGCAACGAGCGCAACCCUUAUCCUUGUUUGCCAGCGAGUAAUGUCGGGAACUCCAGGGAGACUGCCGGUGAUAAACCGGAGGAAGGUGGGGACGACGUCAAGUCAUCAUGGCCCUUACGAGUAGGGCUACACACGUGCUACAAUGGCGCAUACAGAGGGCAGCAAGCUAGCGAUAGUGAGCGAAUCCCAAAAAAGUGCGUCGUAAUCCGGAUUGGGAGUCUGGCAACUCGACUCCAUGGAAGUCGGAAUCCGCUAGUAAUCGGGGGAUCAAAAUUGCCACGGGUGAAUACCGUUCCCGGGGCCUU